UACAGGGGGUGCAGACGUUGCUCGGAAUCAUUGGGCGUAAAGCGCACGUAGGCGGUUCGUUAUGUCGGAUGUGAAAGCCCUUGGCUUAACCGAGGAAGUGCAUCCGAAACUGGCGAGCUAGAGUACUAAAGAGGAUCGCGGAAUUCCCGGUGUAGAGGUGAAAUUCGUAGAUAUCGGGAGGAACACCGGUGGCGAAGGCGGCGAUCUGGGUAGAUACUGACGCUGAGGUGCGAAAGCGUGGGGAGCAAACAGG
rnacentral:rRNA from 1 species